GCCUGGGGGGCUCAGUCGGUGGAGCGUCCGACUUUGACUCAGGUCACGAUCUCACAGUUCGUGGGUUCGAGCCCCGCAUCGGGCU
rnacentral:tRNA from 1 species